GCUAAGGUGGCCUAGUGGUUACAGCGUCCGUCUCGGAUGCGGGAGGUUGUGGGUUCGAUUCCCCGUUGAGUCA